CGCUUCCCGUUGUCUCCUCCAUCACCUCCCUGUUGUGAAUGCAUUGUUCUAAUUUCCAGUCCCCCACAUUCCACCAGUGGUCUGAAUGAACAGUAAAUCAUGCAGACUGGGAGGAGCUCCUCCUCCUCUUCUUUCAACACAUUAUUUUCCCAUGAACACAGCUGAAUAAUGAACCUUUAAUUUAAAGCUCUGCGGCUGUUCUCACACUGAACAACUCUACAUUCCUGCGCAACACUGGACUCCACUGCACCACAUCACUCCUGCAGAACCUCCCAGAGAAGUGAUGGGUCACAAACACCGGAACUCAUGUGAGACACUAGAACUAACAGUUAUCAGUCCGGACCUGCAGCCUGCAGAUCUGAGGAACCACUGAGCUCUGAGUCUGUACAUGAGGGUCAAAGUGGAGCUGGAUUUAUAUGAAGUUACUUUAGCAAUAGCAAAACAAAUGGUUACCUAAAAGUCCAUUUCAACGGUCAUCGGUCAUCCUCAUUAUCACCAAAUCCCAUUAACAAAUCUAACACUUUAAAGUUUCUGUGCAUACAUGCAGAUUUAGACUCACAGAAGAAAAAUGUUUCAGUAACUUUUCAAAAACUGCAGGAACCACUUGAAACAUCGACGCGAGUUCAACCCACCACACAGCCCGCACUCAACAAGAACAUUGGUCACUUUUAAAAGCUGGAUUAAUCCUGUUGUUUCCCUCCUCCCGGUCAGUACUGAGGUCCACCAGGAACACAUGAGGACCACCAGGAACACAUGAGGACCACCAGGAACACAUGAGGUCCACCAGGAACACAUGAGGUCCACCAGGAACACAUGAGGACCGCUGAGUUCACGACAGUCCGGCUUCCCUCCUCGGAGCACACGAGGCCACGCUACCUUGUGUUCCGUGCCGGGGGACCGUUGGCUGCCGCGAAGCUGUUAAAAGGCUGUUUUUUUUAAUGGAGUCUGGCGCAGUGCUGCUCGCUCCACAGAACCGCACCGGGGCUACAUUACAUCACUUCCAGCAAACUUCACGGAGAACAAUGACGGCAGAGCGGCAUCGCCGAGCUGGUUUAACCGAAUACUGUCCGCUGUGAAUCUGAUAAAACCACCAAAACACCGAAUCCGCCUGGAUGUGUGCAGCCCGUUAUCGUGUGGGUCACUCCGUAACCGGUACCGACAGCAGCGUAGCGUUAGCCGCCGCCGGUGAAGGAGAGUAACGGCUGCUGCGUUCAGACCCACCGACCUCCUCACGGAACCACAGCACACGGAAGUUAGACGGCGGCUCACCUGUGACCUGGAAGCCGGAGGAGAAGCAGGGUUCCCGGCUGUGCUGGGGCAGGUUUGGACUGAGCAGCUCCGGAGAAGAGAAGAAGAGAAGCGGCGGUAUUGUGUUUAAAGCGGCAGAGUGGAGGGGGCGGAGCCAAUACCUGCGGCACGGCGCGCGACCGCGAGCGUGCGUCUGAGCGUGCGUGUACAUCUUUACAAUAACAUAACUUAACGUGUGAAAUAUUAAAUUAUACAGUAAUAUUUGAGUUAUCUGAAUAUCAAUAAAGUGAAUCUGCAAACGGA